AGUGAAUUUUAUCGCUGUAUCAUUUCUGUCCCCGAUUUAUGUGCAAGGGAGAAUCCAACAAAUGUCAGGAUUAACUGAUAAACAAGCAACAACCAUUAAUGGAAUAAAAUAAAUCACUAUCUUGGGUCUGACAAAUGCCUGGGUACUUUCUCCAACUGUAAAAUGUGGAACAAAGGUAUACAAACCACAAGUUCUGGAAGGGACGAAUCCCUCCUUUAUGUGCACAAGCAUGGAAUCAAAAUCAAAGCCACCAUUUAUAGCACCCAGUUCUAAGAAACACAAAUUAGUAUGAUCUCACAAAAGCACCAGGAAACCAUCUGGGAAAAGUGGAGUUUUUGGCUUUGACAAUCAGGGCAUAUGUACCAUAACAGGGGAUGUGAACCACAGCCAGGGCAAAGUACCAUAAAGGAGCCCAUGGUAUAUCAAGCUCCAGGAAUGGAUAUGGCCACCCUGUAUAACCACAGGCAUGAAUCACCCAUU
rnacentral:misc_RNA from 1 species